AUGGCCAAGCGCACAGGCCUUGCUCAUGCAGCAACGCUACUGUCGCUGUUGCUUCUCAUGUGCUUUGCUAUCCAUGUACAUUGCCGAAUCAUGGAAGACAAAGUCAGCAAGAAGAUUCAUUUACCACAUGGAUUAUGCGCGCAUAGGGGCUGGAAUUGCCGCACUGCAUUCCAUUGCGAGUGUUGUCUACUAAGCAACAUCUGCUAUACUACAAUGGACUUAUGCAUGGAAGCGUGCAAAUAA
rnacentral:rRNA from 1 species